CCUACGGGAGGCAGCAGUGAGGAAUAUUGGUCAAUGGCCGUAAGUCUGAACCAGCCAAGCAGCGUGAGGGAAGACUGCCCUAUGGGUUGUAAACCUCUUUUAUGCGGGGAUAAAGGUGUCCACGUGUGGAUGUUUGCAGGUACCGCAUGAAUAAGGACCGGCUAAUUCCGUGCCAGCAGCCGCGGUAAUACGGAAGGUCCGGGCGUUAUCCGGAUUUAUUGUGGUUAAAGGGGUCGUAGGCGGGUCUUUAAGCGUGCCGUGAAAUUUUGUGGCUCAACCAUGGGAGUGCGGCGCGAACUGGAGACAUUGAGUGCGGGGAAGGCAGGCGGAAUUCGUGGUGUAGCGGUGAAAUGCGUAGAUAUCAGGAAGAACCCCGAUUGCGAAGGCAGCCUGCCGCAGCGUUACUGACGCUGAGGCUCGAAAGCGCGGGUAUCGAACAGGAUUAGAUACCCGGGUAGUC
rnacentral:rRNA from 1 species